UGAGACCUUGAAGAAGAAGACAGUGC
rnacentral:piRNA from 2 species